rnacentral:lncRNA from 1 species
ACCAUGGGUCCCGUUUGUGCUCCAGCUGCAGCCAUCAAAGCCACGGCAGGGAGCAGGGCAGAAGAGUUGAGGGAAACCCCUGCAAUUCCUGCUGGCUCCAGCCACUGUGGGCUUGGGAUGAAGCGUGUGGCCCACUUCUCAAAGCUGGAGAUCUAUUUAUUGGGCUAGAGAAAGCACAAAUGGGAGGUUGAAAAGGAAUGAUAACUUGUUCUGAGUUUCUUGUCCCCUCCCUAUUAAAAGCAUGAGGGCAAAGGGAAAAGCAUUUCCAGAUUGUGCCUUCAUGGCCAAAUGGAAUUUCUGUGAGGUGAGGAUUUCUAAGUGGGAAUGAGGAAGGAAACAACCACCGACAGGAGAGCCCUGAGGAGAGGCCCUCUGUCAGGGACAUUAAAUCAGAGCCUUUGGGCAUGCUUGUGUCAAAUAGCUGGUCUCCAGUUCAAGGAGAAAACAUCGGUGACCCUGUGACAUUGUUCUUUUUUCACAGGAAACACAGGAGGAAAGUCCAAUGGCCCUGGAGCAGACACUUUCUCAGCUCUGGAGUAGUGAACCCAGGGUCCUUUGCCAUCAACUUUGACUGCGGUGAGGGUGGUCAGCAGGACUUUGACUCGUUGGCUUGUAGAGGAUCACUGUCCCACCACUCAACACAGACCCAGUUUCCAGGGAUGUGCAGGUGUGUCCAGUCCUAUGGGUCUGGAUAGCAUGAUGUAGUUCUGGUGCUUCUGCAAUGUGGAACCUAAAGCCAAAAGAUAUUUCCUCAAAUCAAGUUUCCCCUUCAUGUGAAUUUCACCUGGAGCAUGUGGAAUCUGGUAUGGUCUGCCAUACAGUAUUUCAUAGGGACUGAUGUUAUCCCUCCGCCUUGGUUGUAUGCGGAUUCUCAGUAAAGCUAUAGGCAAGGCCUAAACUCAUGGCAUGGAUGUUUCCUGACAAAUUUUGCUCAUUUCUGUUUUGAAAAUUCCAUUCAUAUGUUCAACUUGACCACUCACUUGGGGUCUAUAAGGUGUAUGCAGAUCUCAAGGAAUUCCUAAAACUUGGCUAGCUUCCUUAACUCCUGUUGCAACAAAGUGUGGUCCCCUACCUGAUGACGUCCCCAAAGAAACGCUGAACCUUGGAAUUAUAUGAUUGAGCAAAACUUUGACUUCCUUGGCUGUGUUAGUGUGACAGGGCUAAGCUUCUGGCCAUCCACUGAAGGUGUCAACUAAUACCAGUAUGGACUGAUAUCCCUCUUUCCAUGGUAACUCUGCAAAAUCUGUCAGUAAUCUCCAGGAAGAUCCCCUGCUUUUGUUACUCCUAACAUAACUCUUUCCCUCGUGUCAAGGUUGUUCUUACAACAGAUUUCACAUUUGCUCACUACUGAUUGUGCAAUGUCAGUCAUUCCCUUUCCUAUUACUACCUUUUUUAGGUGUUUUAGAAUAUUUUCAACCCCAAAAUGUCUAUUUUCAUGUUUCCUCUGGGCUAGCUUCCGAAGGAUCAGGGGUGAGACUACAACCUGAUUUGCUGGUGUGACAGCCCAUCUACUUUCUGUGAUCUCAGCCUUAAGAAACUUAAUUUGUAGUCUGCAUGGUCAUAUUUUGGAGUGAACUCUGACAAAUCAACCUCUUUUUGUGGAAUUACUGCAUGUCCCAGAUUGAAUAGCAAGAUGUUUUCUAUUGCCAUCUGUGUAGAAGUCGUCUUCUGUUAAGUGAGCAGUUUUCCUUGUCUCUGUCACAACCAAUCCUCUAUCAGGGGAGACAUCUGCUGAUAAUGGGCUAUUGAAUGUCACUGUGUGACUGAUAAGAAUUAUAACAUCCCAUUGGGAGAUGCUCCGCCCAGAGGGAGGAGCCAAGCAUUCCUAACUGGAUAUAAUCUGGGUUUUGGGGACAUCACAGUCAGCCUUCCCACAGGUUUCCAAGAGGAACAGCUGGGGUUUUCCACUGGACCUUCAGAGAAAGACUACACCCUUCUACAGGACCACUGCUCCAACAGAACCACAUCUGCCACUGCAGAAGGAUUGCAGCCACUCCAAUUUGGACUGCUACCAACAUGCUGGCCAAAAGGGUGUCAGGUUUAAUUCUGACUCUGCCAGUGGUUUUUAUUUUGUAUUAUUGCAUGUAUUUUGUUUCUUUUCGUUUUUCCUAAUAAAUUGUAUUUCUGACUUGGAGUCUCUCA